rnacentral:rRNA from 1 species
GACGAACGCUGGCGGCGUGCUUAACACAUGCAAGUCGAACGGAAAGGCCCUGCUUUUGUGGGGUGCUCGAGUGGCGAACGGGUGAGUAACACGUGAGUAACCUGCCCUUGACUUUGGGAUAACUUCAGGAAACUGGGGCUAAUAUCGGAUAGGAGCUCCUGCUGCAUGGUGGGGGUUGGAAAGUUUCGGCGGUCGGGGAUGGACUCGCGGCUUACCAGGUUGUUGGUGGGGUAGUGGCUUACCAAGGCUUUGACGGGUAGCCGGCCUGAGAGGGUGGCCGGCGUCAUGGCGACUGAGGUACGUCCCAGACUCCUAGGGGAGGCAGAAGUGGGUAGUUUUGCACAAUGGGCGGAAGUCUGUUGCGGCAACGCCGCGGGCGGGAAGACCGCUUUCGGGUUGUAAACCGCUUUCGCCUGUGACGAAGCGUGAGUGACGGUAAUGGGUGAAGAAGCACCGGCUAACUACGUG